CUGUUACUCCCUCCGUUCGGAAUUACUUGUUACGAAAAUGGAUGUAUCUAGAACUAAAAUACGUCUAGAUACCUCCAUUUCUGCGACAAGUAAUUUCGAACGGAGGGAGUAGAAG
rfam:Triticum aestivum genome assembly, contig: Triticum_aestivum_CS42_TGACv1_scaffold_032736_1BL